UACAGAGGUCCCGAGCGUUGUUCGGAUUUACUGGGCGUAAAGCGUGCGCAGGCGGUUUUGUAAGCCAGAUGUGAAAUCCCCGGGCUUAACCUGGGAAUGGCAUUUGGGACUGCAAGGCUGGAGUGUGGCAGAGGAGACUGGAAUUCCUGGUGUAGCAGUGAAAUGCGUAGAUAUCAGGAGGAAUACCGAUGGCGAAGGCAGGUCUCUGGGCUGACACUGACGCUCAUGCACGAAAGCGUGGGGAGCAAACAGG
rnacentral:rRNA from 1 species